GUUCAUAUUAUUUAUAAAAAUAAAUUUGUAAAUUAUUAGUUAAAAAAAACAUUAGUAAAUUAUAUGAAAAAUAAAAAUUGUAUUAGUAGAUAAUCUAAAAAAUGAUAAAAACAAAAAUAAAGGAAUAAUAAAAUAGAAAAAACAAACCAUCAGAAGAUCAUCAUGUGGUUUGGAAAAAUAAAAAGUAGAAAUCAAUUUUAACGGAAAAAAUUGAGACUUUGUAAUCCUCGGUGAGAGAGUUUAAUCAAAUAAUUUUUUUAUAAAAAAAAUAAAAAGAAACAGCUAUCAGAAAUCAUCAUAUGGCCAAAAGAUUAAAUUAAAAAGGUGUAGAAAGAAUUAAAAUACAAAAAUA
rnacentral:lncRNA from 1 species